AUGAAUAUUAUAUGGUUCUUUUACAUAUACUUUUUGAUUUUGUGAUCCUUGUUUGACUGGCUGGUCCUUCCUCUUCAUUUUUAUCUGGACAAAGCAGAAGAAGGUUUUUCUGCUUCUGAGUUCUAAAAAGCGCUUACUAACUUGGAAUUGGAGUUAAUUCUGAGCGUUUAAUCCAACAAGGAAGAAGUAUGGUGGGAUUUUCUUUUCCCUUUGGUUUAGUAUCCACAUCUGGCCAUCUUGUUCCUGAGAAAGAAUUUCACUUGCUGGCAUCUGUCCUCUUUGGCAUCUUUCUCUGCAAUAUUGUUUACAGAUUAGCGCGCCUUAUUAGCCUUCUCAGCGUUGAGGGAUAUGACGAACUCAGCAAAGCAGAAAAAGUUGAAUGGAAUAACCGGGGGUUCUCAACUGUACAUGCUAUCGCCGUAGCAUUUGCAUCUUUUUACCUUGUAGUGUUGUCAGAUACUUUUCAUGAGGAUCAUCGUGAUGAGCCAAUCGUUAGUAGAAGAUCUACCUUUUCAGAUACAACAUUGGGGAUCUCCUUCGGAUAUUUUCUGUCAGACUUGGGAAUGAUUUUUUGGUAUUUUCCUGCUUUAGGUGGACUGGAGUAUGUUUUGCAUCAUGCACUAUCUAUGUACUCGAUCUUUCUCGCCCUUUUAAGUGGAAAAGGCCAGAUUUACAUACUAAUGGUUCUGUUCUCUGAGAGCACGACUCCUUUUGUAAACAUGAGAUGGUACUUGGAUGUUGCUGGUAGGAAGAACUCUAACCUGUACGUCUUCAAUGGCGCAGUAUUGUUCCUGGGGUGGCUGGUUGCAAGAAUUCUUUUGUUCAUUUACUUUUUCGUCCACAUGUUUAUCCAUUUCGAUCAAGUCAAGACAAUGUUCCCUCUGGUAUUUUACAGCUUGCUCCCGGUGCCUCCAAUGCUGGCUACAAUGAAUCUCAUUUGGUUUUGGAAGAUCACCAAAGGUUUGAUCAAAACUGUUUCCAAGGCCAAACACAGUCAGUGAUCCUUCGAUCUCGAGAGUCGGGAAUUCGAUGUACCCCAAUGUACAUUAGUCGUACGUCUUCUUCCCUUUUGAUGGUUGUGGAGCUAGUUCGAAAAGCAGUACCCCUUUCUUUGACUCCGGAAGAUGACCCCUUGUGGGAGGAGUUAAAACAGCUGCAGAAGAAGAAGGAAGAAAUUGAUGUGCUGGCGCAUAAGCAUGUCCGGCGCAUUC